rnacentral:misc_RNA from 1 species
ACAUUAAUCGUCUCUUUAUUCGUCUAUAUAUAUAAUAUGUAUAUACCUCCGUUGGCGACAAUAUUUCGAUAAGUCGUGGCUUGGCUUGGUACAAGUUGCGUUUCAUACUUGGAGUAUUAUGAGGGAGGGGGGACAGUAAUUAAUUACAUCGACGCACAGGUAUGCAUAUCAUUAAUCGUACGUAUAUCGUGUAUUUAUAUAACAUAUGCACGCGCGUGAGAUUAUUGUACAGUGUGCGAUGCGCCGCCGUUGACUAAACAUUUUUCAUUUCGAGGAGGGAUUUGGGAAGAGCAGCGGGGAAGGAGAGAUGGGGAUCGAAAACGGUAGUAUUCACAAUAGGAGUAUUUGUGGGGAGGGUAGAUCGCCAUUCUGUAUCAUAUCUAUGUAUACAUAGUGCAAAAUAUAUUAAGGUCGGCCACUCGUACGAGGACAGCGUUGAGACGUCCCUUUUAAAGGCUAGCCGUCCUUUCUGAAUCGCCGAUUAAUUCUCUCGUUCUUAAAAGAGCCAGCGUGAUCGAGCUCCGACGGAAAUCGCACGAGCUCUCUCUAUCGCCUCGACUCUAAUCGUACUAAAAGCACUUUUUACAUUGUUUCAGAUACGACAAAGUGGACUUGUCUCGGCGCGAUAUGAUGAGCAGAGGAGCCUAAAAGUAUCGAUAUUCGACGCUGGCAAGAAUAUCGGGUAUCGAUGCUAUCCAGCAUGCUUAGCUCGACACAUCCGAUAUUUUUUCACUUUAACAAUUUAAGUAAAAAGCGUUGAAUCGGUACUUCUAUGCGCUCCCAUAUACGCGACGCCCGUUGAAUUCGAGCGAUUGGAAAUCCACGAGAACGAUCAAAGCGCACGGAGAUUCGCCGAUAUGUGAUUCAUGCGUCUGAACUUCGAUCAUAUAUUUUCGGACGAAUCGCAUCUUAAUUAAUCACGACAGUUUGACUUUACAGUUGUAUUGUAUUAUAAUAUCGCGAAAAGUGAUUAUCAUACUUUAAUAAUUAAAGCGCGCGCGAUCGUAAUUAACCGUUGUUUUCGCGAGUGAGUGUGCGAGUGCCAUGAAGAUAGAAUGGAAAAACGAGAGAGGAGGAAGCCCGAGGACAUAUCAUGCGACGAUCAAUCUGGUUAUAUUAGCUCCACUGCUGUGCAUUGUUUGUUUAAGGUAGCAGUUCUUCGCGCCUUCAAGGAAAGAUACAGAAAUGAG